ACGUGCCGAGGCAUCGGGUGUGCCGAGGCGGCAGAAAACACUGUGCAACGGGAAGAUCCGAGGCACUUCAGGGCGUU
rnacentral:sRNA from 1 species